UAAAUGUUUGAUUCUGGCUUAGAGUCUUUGUUAUAUUGUUAAUGUCGCAUGAAAAUUAUUUAGGUGAGAAGAGUUGGAUUCUAUAUUGAGACCUGCAAUUAGAUAUAAUUAAUGCAAUUACUAUUUAUGUUCUCAGCGUAAAGGCUUAGUAAAUAUGUGAAAGUGUGAGUUAGCGAUCAAUAAAUAAACCUGAUAAAAUAUUUGUGCCAGCAUUCGCGGUUAAACUUUGAGGUUAAAUAAAGGUACAGGUAUUAUAGUUAUUUAGUAAGAUAUGGCUAUAAAGUUUACAGGUAGUAGUCGGUGAAAUUAUUAUUAUUUUGUAAGUUUUAAAGAUACUUAAAAGAGGCUAAUAAACUUUAAAGAUAAACUAGGAUUAGAUACCCUAUUAUAUUGAAGUGUAAACAAUAUUUAAUAUUGAAUUAUUUAUAGAUAUUGCUUAAAAUUUAAAGAAUUUGGCGGUAAUUUAGUCUUGUCAGAGGAACCUGUUUAAGUUUGAUCGAUACACCUCGAAAUAUCUUACUUAUUUUUAGUUUGUAUACCGUCAUUAUCAGAUAAUCUUUAAAGAGAUAAACUAUCGAAAUUAAAUUGUUAAGAAAAUUAGAUCAAGGUGCAGCUUAUAAAUAAGUUUAAAUGGGUUACAAUAAGUUUUAUUUAGAUGAAGGAGACUAGUAAGAUGGGUCUAGGAAGGAGGAUUUGAUAGUAAUGCGAGUUUAAUAAGCUUGUGAGAUAGAAGCUCUAAAUUAUGUACAUAUCGCCCGUCGCUUUCAUUAAUUAAUGAGAUAAGUCGUAACAUAGUAGGUGUACUGGAAGGUGCACCUAGAAUUAU
rnacentral:ncRNA from 1 species